ensembl:lncRNA
AUGAGUUCCUCUAAUUCUUCUUUAAUUUCUUUAAAGUCUUUAUUGAGAUGUCUGGUGAAGCAGCUGGAUAAGGGGGAGGUGAAUGUCGUAGAUCUGAGGAAAAACAUUGAAUAUGCUGCAUCAGUUCUGGAAGCAGUGUACAUUGACGAAACUAGGCGGCUUCUGGACACAGAGGAUGAGCUCAGUGAUAUCCAGGCAGACUCUGUGCCCAUGGAGGUGCGAGAUUGGCUGGCCUCCACCUUCACCAGGAAGAUGGGAGUGGUGCGCAGACGGCCAGAAGAAAAGCCCCGGUUCCGCAGCAUCGUUCACGCUGUUCAGGCUGGGAUCUUUGUUGAACGAAUGUACAGAAGAACAUCCAACAUGGCAGGGUUGACCUAUCCGCCAUCUGUAAUUACAGCUCUUAAGGAUGUUGAUAAAUGGUCAUUUGACGUCUUCACGCUUCAAGAGGCGAGUAGUGAACACGCUCUGAAGUUCCUGGUGUAUGAACUGCUCACCAGAUACGACCUGAUCAGCCGCUUUAGGAUACCAGUGUCCUCCUUGGUGUUAUUUGUGGAAGCUCUGGAAAUAGGCUACAGCAAGCACAGAAACCCUUACCACAAUCUGAUCCACGCUGCCGAUGUCACGCAGACAGCACACUAUCUGAUGCUUCACACUGGCAUUAUGCACUGGCUCACUGAACUGGAAAUAUUGGCCAUGGUGUUUGCUGCUGCUAUCCACGACUUUGAACACACUGGAACCACCAAUAACUUCCACAUCCAGACCAGAUCAGAAGUGGCCAUCCUGUACAACGAUCGCUCGGUUCUGGAAAACCACCACGUGAGCGCAGCCUACAGACUCAUGCAAGAAGAUGAGAUGAACAUCCUGGUCAACCUCUCGAAGGAUGACUGGAGGUACCUGCGUACGUUGGUGAUCGAGAUGGUCAUGAGCACAGAUAUGUCCUGCCAUUUCCAGCAGAUCAAGACGAUGAGGAACGUGCUGCAGCAGCCGGAGGGAAUAGACAAGGCCAAAGCGCUGUCCCUGAUGCUGCAUGCGGCUGAUAUCAGCCAUCCCGCUAAGGGCUGGAAACUGCACUACCGCUGGACACAAGCCCUCAUGGAGGAGUUCUUCAGACAGGUUUCUAAACAAAUACCUUUUUUUUUUUUCUUCAAAGGGUUCAUUGAUUUCAUCGUGGAGCCCACAUUCUCUGUUCUGGUCGACACCACAGAGAAGAUCAUUAGUCCUCUCAUAGAGGAAGCUGUAAAAUCUGGGGGUGUCCGCAGGUCAAGUUUGACGGGUCGGGGCUCGGCUGCGGUGGUGGAGUCAGUACAGAGACACAGCGGUCGGGGUUCGAAUGACGAGCAGGGAGGCACUACAGAUUACUCACUGGGCAACCUCGACUUGAAACAAGUCCGACACCUGCUCUGUGAGAUCAUCCAGAACAACAAGGAGCGCUGGAAAGAGCUGUCUGUUCAAGGUCUGCACACAUCUGAUUGUGUUUCUGUUCCCUAUUCACUAUACACUCCAACUCGCUCAUUGCAAAUAAAUAAAUAA